AAAGUACUCCUUCCGUCCCAAAAUUCUUGUCUUAGAUUUGUCUAGAUACAGAUGUAUCAAGUCACAUUUUAGUAUUAGAUACAUCCGUAUCUAGACAAAUCUAAGACAAGAAAUUUGGAACAGAGGGAGUAGUUG
rnacentral:pre_miRNA from 1 species